AUUCGUUUAUUAGGCGCAAGGAAAGUAAGAAAAAGGAUCCCCCUCUCUCUCUUAUCUUUCCAGUGAGACCGACGCCUUUCUCUCUCUCUCUCUCUAGGGUUUCUUGAUCGCCACCCAAGGAAUAGUAUCGUUUUGCUCCACGAAUUGGAGCUCGAUCUCGACUAGGAAGGCGGAGUCAUCGAUUCCUCAGCUCUGAUACAGGGCGAUUCAUCGUCCGGAAUCGAGGAUGGACGAGACUGGAAAGAUGCAGAGCCACCUGUCGUCAGCUGCGGCUUUUGUGGAAGGGGGCAUCCAAGAUGCUUGCGACGACGCAUGUAGCAUCUGUCUUGAAGCCUUCUGCGAGAGUGAUCCUUCAACAGUGACUAGCUGCAAGCACGAGUACCAUCUUCAGUGCAUUCUCGAAUGGUGCCAGAGAAGUUCUCAAUGCCCUAUGUGUUGGCAGCCUAUCAGUUUGAAGGAUCCCACCAGUCAAGAACUACUUGAAGCUGUGGAACGAGAAAGGAAUGUAAGAGUUAAUCAAACUCGAAAUACUACCAUUUUUCAUCAUCCAACACUUGGAGAUUUUGAGUUGCAGCAUUUACCUGUAGGUGGAAAUGAUGCUGAGCUGGAAGAGCGCAUAAUGCAGCAUUUAGCUGCUGCUGCUGCAAUGGGCAGAGCACAUCACAUUGCCAGAAGAGAAGGGCAGCGGGGUAGGUCAGGAGCUCAUGGCCGCCCACAAUUUCUGGUUUUCUCUGCACAUCCAAAUACACCUGCCAUUGGCUCUGCCUCUUCUGCCCCAAGAGGUGGAGAAAAUGAACCUGCUCCUGCUAUCAUUGCUGCUAGUCCAUCAGCUUCCAUUACUGUCGCAGGAGAUGAAGUCACAUCCCAAACUCCACAUGAGAUCCCUGUUCAAGCUGAUCAGGCUGCUGUCUUUACAUCUAGCACUAUUGCUACUGCCAACAGGUCUAGUCUUUCUAGCAGCAGCAGGAGUUUUGGUGGUCAGUCAACUCCAGUUAACCAGGAUAGAGCAGGACCGUCAGACUUCCAGUCCUUUUCAGAGUCUGUGAAAUCACGUCUAAAUGCUUUCUCAACAAGGUACAAAGAGUCCAUCACAAAGAGUACUCGGGGAUGGAAGGAGAGACUGUUUUCACGUAACACUUCUGUGGCAGAUCUUGGGUCUGAAGUCAGGCGAGAAGUUAAUGCUGGAAUUGCUACUGUCUCACGCAUGAUGGAGCGCCUGGACACAAGAGAAAGUAGAAGAACAUCUGGUGCUUCUGUGCCACCUAACUCUAGCGAUUAUUCAGUUAGAGAACCAAAUAAUGAAAGUAUUAGAGAGAACAAUGCUAAUGCUCUUCCAAAUAAUGGUAAUGCAUCAGCUUCUUGUGCUGCAACUUCAGGUUCAAACUAAGCUAUGCUACAUCUUCUAAAGAUCUGGAAAUUCUCUCAGCAGUUAUUCUUGAAGCCAUGAUGCUGAGGUGGAAUUAGACAUCCUCGGAUAAUUUGUUUGCCUGUUUGGAUAAUGGACUUGUAUGAGGUUUUCAGUAUCUCGGAGUCGUGGAAGGGGAAGGACCAGAAGAUCAACUCUAAAGCCUUUUUCGGGACUUCAAUGCAUUUCCCCUUAUCUAAUUCAACUUUGUAAAUCUGUUGAUAGAAAAUCUAUUGACAUUAAUAAUGGUUAUAGUACACUUAGUGCUGGCGUAUAUUCUGUUGUUCUAAGACACGCAGUGGUUGCUACUGUCGUCGUUUCAGGUGCAAUAUCAUUUGCAGCUUAUCUCCAUUGAAUUACUAAAUGAGGAUUUAACAGUA